CAAUAUGAAGAUUUCUUUAGUCGUGGACUUCUCCCUAAAAAGAACUAUUGGCCUGUCGCUCCCGACGAGUUAUGCCAGUCUAUAAAGUUUGCUGUCGACUGGGGCAAUGUAAACCCAUCUGAGGUAUGUUCAACUUAUCUAUUUCAUUUCAGCACAAUAUAUUAAUGAUAUUUAAUAUUGCCAUAUUUGGGGAUAAGUGUGUUGUUGUGUUAAGACUUAAGAUCUUGAUCUUUACCUGAAUGGAGAUUCAAGCAUCUAAGGUCAUUAAUUAUUUUCACUGCAAUAGUAAUGGCACUAAUUGUAAUUAUCUGUUGAAUGUUAGGUUCUGCUCUUAAUUUGAUGUUAACUUGUCAGUGUGGUUGCAAUUAAAAACUUGGUUGCUUGACAAACUGGUAAUGCCAUAUUUCACUAAGCGCACAAAAAAGGCUAUUAAAAAAAUAAAGCCCCUAAUUGACAUUAGAUAUUGUCCAAACAACAGAUUUCUGUUUUAUAUUUUGCAUUAACUAUUACCAUUUUAUCAGAAUUGUUAUUUGUUUAUGAACACAAACUAGCUGCAAUGUCAUCAUGAGUUUUUUU
rnacentral:misc_RNA from 1 species